rnacentral:RNase_P_RNA from 1 species
AGACAAACGCUGAUAUUUUUAUAUUAGAGGAAAGUCCAUGCUCGCACAGUCUGAGAUGAUUGUAGUGUUCGUGCCUAGGGAAAAAAUAACCUAGGGUAGUUUUUACUAACGGCGGAAGAUAAUCUAAGUCUUUGAUAUGAUUUAUUCCAUAACGUGCCGCAGUGACGAUGCUUUAGGAAACUAAAGAGUGAAACGUGGUAAACCCCGCGAGCGAGAAAUCCAAAUUUGGUAGGAGAGCUCUAACGGAAGAAAUGAAUGAAGUUAGGGACCAGCGAUGGUAGAUAAAUGUUUGUCGCCUGGCAACAGGAACAGAACAUGGCUUAUU